AAUUCGCCUUCACGAAGUCGGAAUUGCUAGUAAUGGCAGGUCAGCAUACUGCCGUGAAUACGUUCCCGGGGCCUUGUACACACCGCCCGUCACACCAUGAGAGUUAGGAAUACCCGAAGCCUGUGAGCCAACUUUUCAAGAGGCAGCAGUCGAAGGUAGAACUAAUGAUUGGGGUGAAGUCGUAACAAGGUAAC
rnacentral:rRNA from 1 species